rnacentral:rRNA from 1 species
AUGGCGGCAAUGGAGGCCGCCGCCGACGCGAUGCUCGCCGCCGCCAGCCGCGCCUUCUGCAGCUCCGUCGCGGUCUUCUUCCAGAUCCAGGGGUGCUGUAUCUGCUUACUACUUGCUUUUGGUUGGGCUGUUGCUUCACUGGUCAGAAAAAAGGAAAUUCGCAAGAUGCGGCGCAAAAUGGCAUCUGGACAUAGUUUUGCAUUUCUUUGUGAUGACGUAGAUGAGCUUGAGCACUCUGUCCAGCAGAAAUUACCUAUGGUCUCUGUAGUCAUGCCUUUGAAGGGCUUUGGGGAACACAAUUUGCAAAAUUGGAGAACUCAGAUUACAUCUCUUUAUGGGGGGCCAUUGGAGUUCUUGUUCGUAGUAGAAAGCAAAGACGAUCCAGCUUAUCGUGCCGUCUCCCGUUUGAUUGUAGAGUACAAGGACAAAUUGGACGCAAAGGUCGUUGUAGCUGGGUUUUCAACAACGUGUAGCCAGAAAAUUCAUAAUCAGUUAAUUGGUGUUGAAAAGAUGCACAAGGACAGCAAAUAUGUUCUAUUUCUGGAUGAUGAUGUCAGACUGCACCCUGGGACAGUCGGAGCUCUCACAAAAGAAAUGGAGAAGAACCCUGAGAUAUUUAUCCAAACGGGAUACCCCCUUGACUUACCUUCUGGCAGCUUGGGAAGCUAUUGCAUAUAUGAAUAUCACAUGCCCUGUUCGAUUGGAUUUGCAACUGGUGGGAGGACUUUCUUUUUGUGGGGUGGCUGUAUGAUGAUGCAUGCUGAUGAUUUCCGGCAAGACCUGUAUGGUUUAGUCACUGCACUAAAAAAUGGUGGUUACUCAGAUGAUAUGACCCUGGCUGCAAUCGCUGGGCAACAUAAAAGGCUCAUAACUUCACCACCUGUUGCUGUGUUUCCACAUCCUCUUGCAAGUGAUCUCAGCUUCUCCAGAUACUGGAAUUAUCUGAGGAAGCAAACUUUUGUUCUUGAAUCGUAUGUAUCAAAGGUCAACUGGAUAAUGAACCGUGCACUAUUUGGUGUGCAUUUCUAUUUGUCUUGGGGAUUUGUUUGUCCCUAUGUUAUGGCUUUGGUACAUAUUGCGACUACUCUUAGAGCACCAUACAGCGCAAUUGUAAAGGAAGCAGCUGGCUCAUCUUGUGGUCUGAAACUAGUGAGCUUCUUGUUAAUAUGCACUCUCACUGAACUUGUUUCAAUGUGGAAUUUGACGAGAGUUGAGAUCCAACUCUGCAACAUGUUGUCUCCAGAAGGUCCACAAGACUCCCUUCGUUCAUAUAACUGGGGGCUUGUGUUCGUCGCCGUGUUAGUAGACAAUUUCCUCUAUCCGAUAUCUGCCAUCCGGUCUCACUUCUCCCAAUCAAUCAAUUGGUCUGGUAUCAGGUACUACCUGAGAGAUGGGAAAAUAAGCAAGAUUGAAAGGGAGAACAGCUCGAAGUACACCGAUCUUGGUGGGAAGCAUCUGUAUGGCAAGAAGACAUACCCUGCUGGAAAGUCAUUGCUCGGUUACCUGUCCAUAAGCUUAGCGCAAUGGCACCAGCCGAAGAAGUAUGAUGUCUGA